GCAUUGGUGGUUUGAUGGUAGAGUUCUCACUUUCCAUAUGAGAGACCUAGGUUUGGUUCCCGGCUAGUGCA
rnacentral:tRNA from 1 species